rnacentral:snRNA from 1 species
CUGUUUUUAGGCAGCACAUAUACUAAAAUUGGAACGAUACAGAGAAGAUUAGCAUGGCCCCUGUGAAAGGAUGACACGCAACAAAUAACAAAACACCAAAAAACA